GUGACUUGCAGAUGUGAAUCAUCAAUCUUUGAACGCACAUUGCGCGGUGUGGUAUUCCGCACCGCACGGAUGGAAGAGCGUGUUCCCUUUGGGAUCGCAUUGCUUUCUUGAAAUGAAUCUAUUACUUCAAUAUACAUCAUUUCACCUCUUUCAUCCGAGAUUACCCGCUGAACUUAAGCAUAUCAAUAAGCGGAGGAAAAGAAACCAACAGGGAUUGCCUCAGUAACGGCGAGUGAAGCGGCAAAAGCUCAAAUUUGAAACCCUCGGGAUUGUAAUUUGAAGAUUUGGCAUUGGAGAAAGCUAACCCAAGUUACUUGGAAUAGUACGUCAUAGAGGGUGACAACCCCGUCUGGCUAACCGUUCUCCAUGUAUUGCCUUAUCAAAGAGUCGAGUUGUUUGGGAAUGCAGCUCAAAGUGGGUGGUAAACUCCAUCUAAAGCUAAAUACUGGUGAGAGACCGAUAGCGAACAAGUACUGUGAAGGAAAGGUGAAAAGAACUUUGAAAAGAGAGUGAAAUAGUAUGUGAAAUUGUUGAUAGGGAAGGAAAUGAGUGGAGAGUGGUUUAGGUUUCAGCCUUCUUUCGAGGGGGUGCACUACCAACGCCGAGUCAUUGAUAGCGAGACAGGGGUUAUAAACGGACGGCACUUGUGCUAUUCUCCUAACCCCUCUACUGCCACCAACGACAUAAUCCACCCAUUUCACCCGUCUUGAAACACGGACCAAGGAGUCUAAUGGAUAUGUGAGUGUUAGGGUGCUAAACCCCAGCGCGCAAUGAAAGUGAAUGAUUCGUUCAGAAUCGACCGAACUUGAUUUUUAUGACAGUUUUGAGUAAACACAUCCAUUGNGACCCGAAAGAUGGUGAACUAUGCUUGA
rnacentral:rRNA from 1 species